AACUUUAAAUGCUACAGACCCUGAGGAACUUGGGCGACUGGGGUUACGAUAAACACACUGACGAGUUGGCUGGCGUGCCCUAUGCUGUGUUGGCAGAAGCAGCUCGGAAUGGUGAAGAGGCAAGAAAUGGAUGCGGCGAUAAAGUUUUCAGUGGGAAUUAGCGCCAGUGGGGGCGGCCAUCUUGAAUCUAGACGUGGCCACCUACCCUUUUCCCCCACAGAAUUGGAAGCGUCAAAUUCUUGCAUUGGCUCAUGCGCUAACCACUGGAGACCACCUUUCCUCAGAACAGCUUGCCAACCUCUUGACUGAUUAUUGACCAGUUGGUUGCAAAAACAGAUGAACAAAAAACAGGAGCUGAAUUUUUCAUCCAUUGCAGCAAACCCAGCCUCCUCCUCUGAGCAGCAACUCAGCUACCAGCCGGAUAUCUGUGGUUUUGACCUUUUCUGCAGAUCUCGAACUCUCAUGGUUGGGAAGAAAAGCUUAGAAAGGUGGCCUGAGACAUGUCUGCCUGAGUCUGCAAGAGCCUGAGAUAACUGCUCUGAGAGGGAGAAGUGCCUCCAGUGUAACUGAUGCAGGGAUACCUGCCUGAGUUUGCAAAGAGCCUGAACUAAUCGCUCUGAAGCAGGAACUGCCUGGCCCCUGAUGCAACUGAUGCAGUGACCUAGUGAAAUAAACAGGUUCUGUGGAAAUAGA